rnacentral:lncRNA from 1 species
GCUGAUUAGUGUUAAUCAUAUGUAUAGGGAGGCGAAUACUGUAGCUCAUAAUCUCGCGCAAUUUGCGCGCUCUUGUCAGCAACCUGUCUGUUGGAUUGCUGACUUUCCCCGAUGGCUCCGUGAUUUGCUAUCGGUGGACUAUCCUUAAUAUAUGAGUUCGUCUUGAGUUUCAAAAAAAAAAAAAAAACCGCAGAUUCAGCUAUUGAGGAGCAUAGCAUAUAUAAUCGUGGUAACAGAUGUUAUCGUGGCUGCUCUUGUAAUACUGGUUUACUAAUUUUCAACACCACCACAAAUUCUAAAAAUAAAUAAAUAAAUAAAUCAGCGC